UACGUAGGGUGCGAGCGUUAAUCGGAAUGACUGGGCGUAAAGGGUGCGUAGGCGGUUUGCUAAGACGGAUGUGAAAUCCCUGGGCUCAACCUAGGAACAGCAUACGUGACUGGCAGGCUAGAGUAUCGAAGAGGGGGGUAGAAUUCCACGUGUAGCAGUGAAAUGCGUAGAGAUGCGGAGGAACACCGAUGGCGAAGGCAGCCCCCUGGGCUAACACUGACGCUCAGGCACGAAAGCGUGGGGAGCAAACAGG
rnacentral:rRNA from 1 species